rnacentral:rRNA from 1 species
UCUAGAUAGAGAUUAGGUGCCCGUACCGCAAACCGACACAGGUAGUCAAGAUGAGAAUUCUAAGGUGAGCGAGCGAACUCUCGUUAAGGAACUCGGCAAAAUGACCCCGUAACUUCGGGAGAAGGGGUGCUCUUUAGGGUGCAAGCCCAGAAGAGCCGCAGUGAAUAGGCCCAAGCGACUGUUUAUCAAAAACACAGGUCUCUGCUAAACCGUAAGGUGAUGUAUAGGGGCUGACGCCUGCCCGGUGCUGGAAGGUUAAGAGGAGUGGUUAGCUUCUGCGAAGCUACGAAUCGAAGCCCCAGUAAACGGCGGCCGUAACUAUAACGGUCCUAAGGUAGCGAAAUUCCUUGUCGGGUAAGUUCCGACCCGCACGAAAGGCGUAACGAUUUGGGCACUGUCUCAACGAGAGACUCGGUGAAAUCAUAGUACCUGUGAAGAUGCAGGUUACCCGCGACAGGACGGAAAGACCCCGUGGAGCUUUACUGUAGCCUGAUAUUGAAAUUCGGCACAGCUUGUACAGGAUAGGUAGGAGCCUUUGAAACGUGAGCGCUAGCUUACGUGGAGGCGUUGGUGGGAUACUACCCUAGCUGUGUUGG